ACGGGAGGCAGCAGUGGGGAAUAUUGCACAAUGGGCGAAAGCCUGAUGCAGCGACGCCGCGUGAGUGAUGAAGUAUUUCGGUAUGUAAAGCUCUAUCAGCAGGGAAGAUAAUGACGGUACCUGACUAAGAAGCACCGGCUAAAUACGUGCCAGCAGCCGCGGUAAUACGUAUGGUGCAAGCGUUAUCCGGAUUUACUGGGUGUAAAGGGUGCGUAGGUGGCAUGGUAAGUCAGAUGUGAAAUACCGGGGCUCAACCCCGGGGCUGCAUUUGAAACUGCCAGGCUGGAGUACAGGAGAGGCAAGCGGAAUUCCUAGUGUAGCGGUGAAAUGCGUAGAUAUUAGGAGGAACACCAGUGGCGAAGGCGGCUUGCUGGACGACAACUGACGCUGAGGCGCGAAAGCGUGGGGAGCAAACAGGAUUAGAUACCCUGGUA
rnacentral:rRNA from 1 species